AUUGAACGCUGGCGGCAGGCCUAACACAUGCAAGUCGAGCGGAUGAAGGGAGCUUGCUCCUGGAUUCAGCGGCGGACGGGUGAGUAAUGCCUAGGAAUCUGCCUGGUAGUGGGGGAUAACGUCCGUAAACGGGCGCUAAUACCGCAUACGUCCUGAGGGAGAAAGUGGGGGAUCUUCGGACCUCACGCUAUCAGAUGAGCCUAGGUCGGAUUAGCUAGUUGGUGGGGUAAAGGCCUACCAAGGCGACGAUCCGUAACUGGUCUGAGAGGAUGAUCAGUCACACUGGAACUGAGACACGGUCCAGACUACUACGGGAGGCAGCAGUGGGGAAUAUUGGACAAUGGGCGAAAGCCUGAUCCAGCCAUGCCGCGUGUGUGAAGAAGGUCUUCGGAUUGUAAAGCACUUUAAGUUGGGAGGAAGGGCAGUAAGUUAAUACCUUGCUGUUUUGACGUUACCAACAGAAUAAGCACCGGCUAACUUCGUG
rnacentral:rRNA from 1 species